rnacentral:tRNA from 1 species
GGAAGCGCACGGGGCCUGGUGGCUCUCGCGGUCUUCAAAACCGUUGCUCCGUGCCGUCGCGGCACGGAGGGUGGGUUCGAUUCCCAUGCGCUUCCGCCA